rfam:Candidatus Nomurabacteria bacterium RIFCSPHIGHO2_12_FTLL_37_29 rifcsphigho2_12_scaffold_3183, whole genome shotgun sequence.
UAACAGGAAAUUUAAGGGCGUACGGUGGAUGCCUUGACUUUAAGAGGCGAUGAAGGACGUGGCGUUGCUGCGAUAAGCUUCGGGGAGGUGCUUAGCAACCUUUGAUCCGGAGAUUUCCGAAUGGGGAAACCCUAUUGAGUAAAACUCAAUAAUUUUUAACACAAGUUAAAAAAGCAUACCCUGGGAAGUGAAACAUCUCAGUACCAGGAGGAAUAGAGACAAAUAUGUAUUUCCUAAGUAGCGGCGAGCGAAAAGGAAGAAGCCCAAACCCAGCCCCACUUUUACGAUGCGAUUUUAUUUCUAAUUGAUAAAUUAUGAGAAAAUAACUAUUGAAAAGAAAAAAUUGUCUGCAAGACAAUUUUUUUUAGAAUUCGUUUUGUAAAAGUGGGGCUGGGGGUUGUAAGAUGACAAUGUAGUUUACUAGAAGAGUCAAAAAAUAAAUUAUUAGUUGAAGUUGCUGGAAAGCAACACCAGAGAAGGUGAUAGUCCCGUAAACGAAAAUAAUUUAUCUCUUUUAUUGUUAUU